ACGGUACAGUUGGAGCGGCAUAUUUUCAUGUAUAUGUACAAGUAGAUUCUGAUCACCAUGAAAGGGUAAGACAAAAUGAUUGUCAUAAAAAGUAGACUUAGUGGAACAAGACUGAAAGCCAUCAUGUUGGCAGACUGGCCUGCCCUUCCCCGAGUCUCUGCUCACUGAGUCAUCAACUCCACAUCUUCCUACUCCUCCCUCUCCCCCACUGGAACUACUCCUCUGGGCUCCUUAGCUCAGCUCGUGCCAGAGCUUGCUCUGGGCUCUCGGGCCAGCAAGGCUCUGCUGGCUCCAUCUUCUAAGAACAAUCUCAGCUCUUCUGUGCGCCUUCCUCAGAGCCACUCGCGGGUUCUGUCCUGAUCUAGUCACCCCAGCCUGGUCCCCAUCUGUCUCUUCUGGGCUGUCACUGAAGUGCCCAGGGGGUCCCAGAAGAGGACAGUGGAUCCCUGAAGCCGGAAUUCCAGACAGCUGUGAGUCACCAUGUGGAUGUGGAAUUGAACUGGAAUACGCUAGAAGCAGACCAAGAGGACUGGAGGGUGACUGGACAAAGCAGACGAAACAGGACUACAGAGGAGGUAUGCUCGUACGAAACAGGACUACAGAGGAGGUAUGCUCAUAUGAAAUAGGACUACAGAGGAGGUAUGCUUGUAUGCAACAGGACUACAGAGGAGGUAUGCUUGUAUGCAACAGGACUACAGAGGAGGUAUGCUUGUAUGCAACAGGACUACAGAGGAGGUAUGCUCAUACGAAACAGGACUACAGAGGAGGUAUGCUCAUAGGAAACAGGACUACAGAGGAGGUAUGCUCGUAUGCAACAGGACUACAGAGGAGGUAUGCUCGUGGGAAACAGGACUACAGAGGAGGUAUGCUCG